UACGUAGGUGACAAGCGUUGUCCGGAUUUACUGGGCGUAAAGAGCGCGCAGGCGGUCGUUCAAGUCGAGUGUGAAAGCCCCCGGCUCAACUGGGGAGGGUCAUUCGAUACUGAUCGACUCGAAGGCAGGAGAGGGAAGUGGAAUUCCCGGUGUAGUGGUGAAAUGCGUAGAUAUCGGGAGGAACACCAGUGGCGAAGGCGACUUCCUGGCCUGCUCUUGACGCUGAGGCGCGAAAGCUAGGGGAGCAAACGGG
rnacentral:rRNA from 1 species